AUGAAACGAACGCUACCUAAGAGAACUCCUUUUCUCUAUCGUCCCUCUCAAAACCCUAGCGCCGCAGACACAUCUUCUUCAAAAAAUCGACAUCAAACACCGAUUUCACAUCUUCAUUACAGGAAAUUUGUCGGUUCGGGUCUCAGCUAAUAGUUCAGCUGGAAAUUUGACUGGUGGCUCGAAGCAGUGCAGCAUUGGUUUGUGAUUUAUGAAAGGGUUUUUAGUUUUUACAUCAGAUGUGAAGUUGUUAAAGUGCAUAGCUCGUGGGCUGAUUUUCCUGACUAUUUUAAGCAACAGGGAGAAAAGGUUGCUGGCAUUUACCAAAAGGGGGACAAGCAUACAUUUUUGGCUGGUGUUCGGGUCAGAAACCAGUGGGCUACCACCCGAGGCUUUGAAUGAGUGCAAAAAUGAGCCGCUUGGUGGUGGGACGCUUAAAAUUCCAAAGGUUGAAACGUAUGUAUGAUGUCUGAAUUUCUCGGUUAGCGUUGGCAUUGGUUUGUAUAAAGCUUCAAGACAAUUAAACUAUGAG
rnacentral:lncRNA from 1 species